rnacentral:misc_RNA from 1 species
UCGCGUCUUACGACGGCAGUUUCACUAGAGUUCCCAGCGUUACCUGAUGGCAACUAGUGAUGGGGGUUGCGCUCGUUGCGGGACUUAACCCAACACCUCACGGCACGAGCUGACGACAGCCAUGCAGCACCUUACUAGCGGUGUAUUGCUACAAAGAUAGCUUUCACUACCGGUCCACUAGCAUUCUAGCCCAGGUAAGGUUCUUGGCGUUGCGUCCAAUUAAACCACAUGCUCCGCUGCUUGUGCGGGCCCCCGUCAAUUCCUUUGAGUUUCACCCUUGCGGGCGUACUCCCCAGGUGGAUUACUUAACGCUUUCGCUAAGACGCCGACGGUCUGUCGCCGACAUCGAGUAAUCAUCGUUUACGGCGUGGACUAC